GUAGCUCUACUUCAAAGGCAGCAAGAUCAUCCAGAAGCUCCCUGUUCUGUUGUGCAUAUUUUUCUUCAACUUCAGAGUUAAGGUGAAGUUUAUUGGUCACAGAUUCAAGUUCAACCUGAAGUUUCUCCACGAGGGCAGUUGACACAUCAAAUUUAGCUACCAUACUCUCUAUAUCUUUUUUAUACUUUUGCUUCAUGCAAAUUAUUUCUGAUCUACUAGCUUUCAAAGACACCUCAGCAACUGAUAUUUCACUUUCUAGAUUUUGCUUCUCCUGCAUAAGAUGAAGGAUCUUGCUUAACA
rnacentral:misc_RNA from 1 species